rnacentral:misc_RNA from 1 species
AAGUCGUAACAAGGUCUCCGUAGGUGAACCUGCGGAAGGAUCAUUAUUGUACAACGGAGGUGUGAGGGCUGUCGCUGACCUUUCAAAGGUCGUGCACGCCCAAGCACUUUCAUACAAUCCAUCUCACCCCUUUGUGCAUCACCGCGUGGGUCCCCUUUGCGGGAGGGCUCACGUUUUCACACAAAACUCGAUACAGUGUAGAGUGUUCUUUUGCGAUCACACGCAAUCAAUACAA